rnacentral:rRNA from 1 species
CCUACGUGAGGCCGCAGUAGGGAAUCUUCGGCAAUGGACGAAAGUCUGACCGAGCAACGCCGCGUGAGUGAAGAAGGUUUUCGGAUCGUAAAACUCUGUUGGUAGAGACGAACGUUGGUGAGAGUGGAAAGCUCCUCCAGUGACGUUAACUACCCAGAAAGGGACGGCUAACUACGUGCCAGCAGCCGCGGUCAUACGUCGGUCCCGAGCGUUGUCCGGAAUUACUGGGCGUAAAGCGCUCGUAGGCGGUAUGUCAAGUCAAGGGGGAAAUCCCCGCGCUCAACGUGGGAACUGCCUUUGAAAAUGGCAAACGGGAGGGUGGGAGAGGAGAGUGGAAUUACAGGGGGAGGAGUGAAAUCCGUAGAUAUCUGGAGGAAAAUCAGGGGCGAAGGCGACUAUCUGGAACAUAACUGACGCUGAGGAGCGAAAGCGUGGGUAGCAAACAGGAUUAGAUACCCCAGUAGUC